GUGUGUCACUUUUGAUAAGGUAAAGGAAAAUAAAUGAUAUUACUUUACUAUUAGUGUCGUCCAAAUACUCGUGCCAGAAGACUCGGUAAGGCGAGAGACGCAAACGUUAGUCGUCUUGAUCAGGCGUAAAGGGUUUGUAGGCGGCUUUAAGAAUUGAUUUCUUCUAAAUAACAAUUAUAUUUUUUUUAAUAUAAUCAAUUGAAAAAAUGAAUCAAUUAAAGCUAGAAUCAAAUAGAGGUUAAAUUAAAUAAUACUUGGUGUAAGAUUGGUAUCUGAAAAAACCAAGCGGAAUACUAACGGCGAAGGCUUUUUUCCAUUAAUGAUUGACGCUGAGAAACUAAGGUGAGGACAGAAAAAAGGAUUAGAGACCCUCGUAUUCCUCACUGUCAACGAUGAAUGGUAGUUACUAGAUAAAAUGAAUAAUUCAUUAAAGAAAUCUAGAGAUGAUGUUAACACGUAAACCAUUCCGCCUUGUGAGUACGACUGCAAAGUUGAAAACAAAAAAAUGAGUNCGGUUUCGGAGCAAACGAAGUGAAGCAUGUUAUUUA
rnacentral:rRNA from 1 species